AGAGUUUGAUCAUGGCUCAGGAUGAACGCUGGCGGCGUGCUUAACACAUGCAAGUCGAACGAUGAAGCCCAGCUUGCUGGGUGGAUUAGUGGCGAACGGGUGAGUAACACGUGAGUAACCUGCCCUUGACUCUGGGAUAAGCGCUGGAAACAGCGUCUAAUACCGGAUACGAGCUUCCACCGCGUGGUGAGUUGCUGGAAAGAAUUUCGGUCAAGGAUGGACUCGCGGCCUAUCAGGUAGUUGGUGAGGUAACGGCUCACCAAGCCGACGACGGGUAGCCGGCCUGAGAGGGUGACCGGCCACACUGGGACUGAGACACGGCCCAGACUCCUACGGGAGGCAGCAGUGGGGAAUAUUGCACAAUGGGCGCAAGCCUGAUGCAGCAACGCCGCGUGAGGGACGAAGGCCUUCGGGUCGUAAACCUCUUUUAGCAGGGAAGAAGCGAAAGUGACGGUACCUGCAGAAAAAGCACCGGCUAACUACGUGCCAGCAGCCGCGGUAAUACGUAGGGUGCGAGCGUUAUCCGGAAUUAUUGGGCGUAAAGAGCUCGUAGGCGGUUUGUCACGUCUGCUGUGAAAACUGGAGGCUCAACCUUCAGCCUGCAGUGGGUACGGGCAGACUAGAGUGCGGUAGGGGAGAUUGGAAUUCCUGGUGUAGCGGUGGAAUGCGCAGAUAUCAGGAGGAACACCGAUGGCGAAGGCAGAUCUCUGGGCCGUUACUGACGCUGAGGAGCGAAAGCGUGGGGAGCGAACAGGAUUAGAUACCCUGGUAGUCC
rnacentral:rRNA from 1 species